ensembl:lncRNA
AUGCUGCGUGACCGGGUCCGGCCUCUCUUCUACACCCGGAUGCGGCUGGGGGAGUUCGACCCCCCGGCCAUGAACCCCUAUAGUGCCCUGAACCUGAGCGUGGUGCAGAGCCCCGAGCACCGAAACCUGUCCCUGGAAGCUGCCAUCAAGAGCUUUGUGCUGCUGAAGAACUCAGGGGGGACACUGCCCCUCCGGGCCCAGGACCUGCCUGGCAAGCGCCUUGCGGUUGUGGGUCCCUUCGCUGACAACCCCCGGGUGCUGUUUGGGGACUACGCGCCGGUGCCGGAGCCGCGGUACAUCUACACCCCGCGGAGGGGGCUGGAGACGCUGCCGGUCACCGUCAGCUUCGCAGCCGGCUGCCAUGACCCGCGGUGCCAGCAGUACUCACGGGCAGAGGUGGUGGGUGCCGUGGGGGCUGCCGACGUGGCUGUGGUGUGCCUGGGCACAGGGACCGGUGUGGAGACGGAGGCAAGGGACCGGGGUGACCUGUCCCUGCCGGGGCACCAGCUGGAGCUGCUGCAGGAUGCAGUGCAGGCAGCCGCCGGGCGCCCUCUGAUCCUGCUGCUGUUCAACGCGGGGCCGCUGGACGUGAGCUGGGCGCAGGCACACGAGGCUGUGGGUGCCAUCCUGGCAUGCUUCUUCCCUGCCCAGGCCGCUGGCCUCGCCAUAGCCAAGGUGCUGCUGGGGGAGCCUGGGGCCAGCCCUGCUGCCAGGCUGCCGGCCACAUGGCCCGCGGGCAUGCACCAGGUGCCACCGAUGGAGAACUACACCAUGGAGGGACGGACAUACCGGUACUAUGGGCAGGAGCCCCCUCUUUACCCCUUUGGUUAUGGGUUGUCCUACACCACCUUCCGCUACCGGGACCUGGUGCUGAUCCCCCCGGUGCUGCCCAUCUGUGCCAACCUCUCCGUGUCUGUGGUGCUGGAGAACACGGGGCAGCGGGAUGGUAAGGAGGUGGUGCAGCUGUACUUGCGGUGGGAGCAGCCGUCCGUGCCUGUGCCACGCUGGCAGCUGGUGGCUUUCCGGCGUGUGGCUGUGCCAGCUGGCGAGGCCAUGAAGCUGUCCCUGCAGGUGUCGGUGGAGCAGCGUGCGGUGUGGGCACAGGGCUGGCGCCUGGAGCCUGGCUCCUUCACCCUCUUCGCUGGGGGGCAGCAGCCGGAGCAGCAGCUGCGGGUGCCCUCGGAGGUGCUGAGUGUGCCAUUCACUGUCACUGGCACAGCCCGGCCCCUGAAUCAGUGCUAGGGAUGGGGACAGCCAUGGGAUCACAGCCUGGUUCGGGUUGGGACCCUGAGAUCACCCAGUUCCAACCCUCACACUGGACCGUGUCACCCAAGGGCCUGGCCAGCCUGGUCCUGAGCACUGCCAGGGAUGGGGCAGCCACAGCUGCUCUGGGCACCCUGUGCCAGCGCCUCAGCACCCUCACAGUAAAGAACUUCUGCCUCAGAUCUAACCUGAACUUCCCAUUUCAGUCUGAACCCAUCACCCCUUGUCCUGUCCCUACAGUCCCAGAUGCAGAGUCC